ACAUGCAAGUCGAGGGGUAUGGUUCUUCGGAACCAGAGACCGGCGCACGGGUGCGUAACGCGUAUGCAAUCUACCUUUCACAGAGGGAUAGCCCAGAGAAAUUUGGAUUAAUACCUCAUAGUAUAUUGGUCUCGCAUGAGAUUAUUAUUAAAGAUUUAUCGGUGAAAGAUGAGCAUGCGUCCCAUUAGUUAGUUGGUAAGGUAACGGCUUACCAAGACUACGAUGGGUAGGGGUCCUGGAGGGAGAUCCCCCACACUGGUACUGAGACACGGACCAGACUCCUACGGGAGGCAGCAGUGAGGAAUAUUGGACAAUGGGCGCAAGCCUGAUCCAGCCAUGCCGCGUGCAGGAUGACGGUCCUAUGGAUUGUAAACUGCUUUUAUACGAGAAGAAACACUAGUUCGUGAACUAGCUUGACGGUAUCGUAAGAAUAAGGAUCGGCUAACUCCGUGCCAGCAGCCGCGGUAAUACGGAGGAUCCAAGCGUUAUCCGGAUCAUUGGGUUUAAAGGGUCCGUAGGCGGUCAGAUAAGUCAGUGGUGAAAGCCCAUCGCUCAACGGUGGAACGGCCAUUGAUACUGUCUGACUUGAAUUAUUAGGAAGUAACUAGAAUAUGUUGUGUAGCGGUGAAAUGCUUAGAGAUUACAUGGAAUACCAAUUGCGAAGGCAGGUUACUACUAAUGGAUUGACGCUGAUGGACGAAAG
rnacentral:rRNA from 1 species